GUUGACCUCGGAUCAGGUAGGGAUACCCGCUGAACUUAAGCAUAUCAAUAAGCGGAGGAAAAGAAACCAACAGGGAUUGCCCUAGUAACGGCGAGUGAACAGGGAAGGGUACCGAGCUCGAAUUCCCUAU
rnacentral:rRNA from 1 species